rnacentral:rRNA from 1 species
GAUGAACGCUAGCUACAGGCUUAACACAUGCAAGUCGAGGGGCAGCAUGGUCUUAGCUUGCUAAGGCCGAUGGCGACCGGCGCACGGGUGAGUAACACGUAUCCAACCUGCCGUCUACUCUUGGACAGCCUUCUGAAAGGAAGAUUAAUACAAGAUGGCAUCAUGAGUCCACAUGUUCACAUGAUUAAAGGUAUUCCGGUAGACGAUGGGGAUGCGUUCCAUUAGAUAGUAGGCGGGGUAACGGCCCACCUAGUCUUCGAUGGAUAGGGGUUCUGAGAGGAAGGUCCCCCACAUUGGAACUGAGACACGGUCCAAACUCCUACGGGAGGCAGCAGUGAGGAAUAUUGGUCAAUGGGCGAGAGCCUGAACCAGCCAAGUAGCGUGAAGGAUGACUGCCCUAUGGGUUGUAAACUUCUUUUAUAAAGGAAUAAAGUCGGGUAUGGAUACCCGUUUGCAUGUACUUUAUGAAUAAGGAUCGGCUAACUCCGUGCCAGCAGCCGCGGUAAUACGGAGGAUCCGAGCGUUAUCCGGAUUUAUUGGGUUUAAAGGGAGCGUAGAUGGAUGUUUAAGUCAGUUGUGAAAGUUUGCGGCUCAACCGUAAAAUUGCAGUUGAUACUGGAUAUCUUGAGUGCAGUUGAGGCAGGCGGAAUUCGUGGUGUAGCGGUGAAAUGCUUAGAUAUCACGAAGAACUCCGAUUGCGAAGGCAGCCUGCUAAGCUGCAACUGACAUUGAGGCUCGAAAGUGUGGGUAUCAAACAGGAUUAGAUACCCUGGUAGUCCACACGGUAAACGAUGAAUACUCGCUGUUUGCGAUAUACAGCAAGCGGCCAAGCGAAAGCGUUAAGUAUUCCACCUGGGGAGUACGCCGGCAACGGUGAAACUCAAAGGAAUCGACGGGGGCCCGCACAAGCGGAGGAACAUGUGGUUUAAUUCGAUGAUACGCGAGGAACCUUACCCGGGCUUAAAUUGCAGAUGAAUUACGGUGAAAGCCGUAAGCCGCAAGGCAUCUGUGAAGGUGCUGCAUGGUUGUCGUCAGCUCGUGCCGUGAGGUGUCGGCUUAAGUGCCAUAACGAGCGCAACCCUUGUUGUCAGUUACUAACAGGUUCCGCUGAGGACUCUGACAAGACUGCCAUCGUAAGAUGUGAGGAAGGUGGGGAUGACGUCAAAUCAGCACGGCCCUUACGUCCGGGGCUACACACGUGUUACAAUGGGGGGUACAGAGGGCCGCUACCACGCGAGUGGAUGCCAAUCCCAAAAACCUCUCUCAGUUCGGACUGGAGUCUGCAACCCGACUCCACGAAGCUGGAUUCGCUAGUAAUCGCGCAUCAGCCACGGCGCGGUGAAUACGUUCCCGGGCCU